rnacentral:sRNA from 1 species
UUGACAGUACUGAAGAGUGAAGUCCUCAUUUUAUCCAUAAAACAGAUACAGCACAGACAUCAGCAAUGGAAGCUUUCUCCCCUAUCCUGUAAACAGACCUCAGCGCUGACCUUGAGGGGCAAGAGGUUUUUCACUCUCUAUGAAAAGGCAUUCUUUGGCUAUU